UUUUACAUCUUCAACUCACUUCCAUCAUCUUCAUCCCCAUUGCAGUGCACCUCCGUCGAUCCCCAACCUCAUCUCCGUCCCACCUCCGUCGACCUCCAGUCCACCGCAAUCAUCGUUUCACCGGAGACCCCAAUUGUAGCCAUCACCACCGUUCGCAGCCACCACGACCGCUCGCAACUACCACGGCCGCUCGCAACAACCACCAUCGUCUGACAGGUCCGAUUAGUGGAGCAAUAUCGUAUCUGGUUCAACAUCAUUAGUUAUGUGAGAUUUUAUAUGAAUUUGAGAGCACGUUUGCACUGUUUUGAGACGCGGAGGCAAGGAGCAGGAUCUUGAAGGUUUGUCGAAGAGGUUGUGGAGAAUGGUAUCGAGGAUGAAAGUGGGAGUCGGGGUUAUGGUAGGUCGAUUGAUGGAAAUAGCGAAGUUUUUGAGGAGAACAAGAAUAAUGUUGUUAAUCAAGAAUGAUAAUGAGGGUGUAACCACAUCUGCUACUCUGCUCUCUCUUUUGCAAUGGUCUUUGAUACAAUAACUUCAUAUUAUAACAUACUGUGUUGUGGCUGCUGAAUCUGCUGGUAGACAAGUUCCAAUGGCUUUUCUUGAGCGAAUAAAGGAUGGACUUUAACAAAAAAUACAGUGGUGGGAAAGCUGAUACAACUGUUGCCAAUAGUCUGAACAAAGAAUUCGGACCCAAGCUGAAGGAGCAGAUGGAGCAUUGUGUGGACCAUCUUGAAGAAAUCAGCAAGCUUUCGAAGUGGCAAAAGAUGAGUGUGGUCGAAGAAAGGGUACGCGUGGUGGGAGAAAAGGUACGCGUGGCCGAUGAAAAGGUUCGGGUCAAAGAAUGAGACGUAUUGACGAUUGAUGUUGAUAGUUAUCCUGAACCAAAACGUUCUACUUUAAAGAAAAUGCAAGAGGACAUUAUGAGUUUUUUUAGUUUUAAAUUUUUAAAUUUGGGAUUUAUUUUUUGUGGGUUUUGGAUUUAAUGCAACUUUAUGUUGUCUGUU